GACGAACGCUGGCGGCGUGCUUAACACAUGCAAGUCGAGCGGAAAGGCCCUUCGGGGUACUCGAGCGGCGAACGGGUGAGUAACACGUGAGUAACCUGCCCCAGACUUUGGGAUAACCCUCGGAAACGGGGGCUAAUACCGGAUACGACACAGCUUCGCAUGGGGUCUGUGUGGAAAGUUUUUCGGUUUGGGAUGGGCUCGCGGCCUAUCAGCUUGUUGGUGGGGUGAUGGCCUACCAAGGCGACGACGGGUAGCCGGCCUGAGAGGGCGACCGGCCACACUGGGACUGAGACACGGCCCAGACUCCUACGGGAGGCAGCAGUGGGGAAUAUUGCACAAUGGGCGGUAGCCUGAUGCAGCGACGCCGCGUGAGGGAUGACGGCCUUCGGGUUGUAAACCUCUUUCAGCAGGGACGAAGCGUAAGUGACGGUACCUGCAGAAGAAGCGCCGGCCAACUACGUG
rnacentral:rRNA from 1 species